GACAGAGGGGCAAGCGUUGCUCGGAAUUACUGGGCGUAAAGGGCGCGUAGGCGGCCACCGCAAGUCAAUUGUGAAAUCUCCGGGCUUAACUCGGAAAGGUCAACUGAUACUGCGGGGCUAGAGUGCGGAAGGGGCAACUGGAAUUCUCGGUGUAGCGGUGAAAUGCGUAGAUAUCGAGAGGAACACCUGCGGCGAAGGCGGGUUGCUGGGCCGACACUGACGCUGAUGCGCGAAAGCCAGGGGAAGCGA
rnacentral:rRNA from 1 species